rnacentral:rRNA from 1 species
AACGAACGCUGGCGGCAUGCCUAACACAUGCAAGUCGAACGAGACCUUCGGGUCUAGUGGCGCACGGGUGCGUAACGCGUGGGAACCUGCCCUUAGGUUCGGAAUAACACCCCGAAAGGGGUGCUAAUACCGGAUAAUGUCUUCGGACCAAAGAUUUAUCGCCUUUGGAUGGGCCCGCGUUGGAUUAGCUAGUUGGUAUGGUAAAAGCCUACCAAGGCGACGAUCCAUAGCUGGUCUGAGAGGAUGAUCAGCCACACUGGGACUGAGACACGGCCCAGACUCCUACGUGAGGAAGCAGUGGGGAAUAUUGGACAAUGGGCGAAAGCCUGAUCCAGCAAUGCCGCGUGAGUGAUGAAGGCCUUAGGGUUGGAAAGCUCUUUUACCCGGGAUGAUAAUGACAGUACCGGGAGAAUAAGCUCCGGCUAACUCCGUG